CGCGAUUGGAUUGGGGCAG
rnacentral:piRNA from 1 species